CACGUAGGGCGCGAGCGUUGUCCGGAAUUAUUGGGCGUAAAGAGCUCGUAGGCGGCCUGUUGCGUCCGCUGUGAAAGCCCGGGGCUUAACCCCGGGUCUGCAGUGGAUACGGGCAGGCUAGAGGUAGGUAGGGGAGAAUGGAAUUCCCGGUGUAGCGGUGAAAUGCGUAGAUAUCGUAAGGAAGACCAGUGGCGAAGGCGGGUCUCUGGACAGUUCCUGACGCUGAGGCACGAAGGUCAGGGGAGCAAACGGG
rnacentral:rRNA from 1 species